GGGAGCUUGGCUCAGUUGGAAGAGCGCAGGUCUCAUACUUGUGUAUGAUUCGGUGUCAAAUCGAAAAUAUCCUGAGGUCGUGAGUUCGAGCCUCACAGUUCCCA
rfam:Chaetomium globosum CBS 148.51 scaffold_5 genomic scaffold, whole genome shotgun sequence.